CCCUUAGAUGUUCUGGGCCGCACGCGCGCUACACUGAUGCAUUCAACGAGCCUAUCCUUGACCGACAGGUCCGGGUAAUCUUUGAAUCUGCAUCGUGACGGGGAUAGAUUAUUGCAAUUAUUAAUCUUCAACGAGGAAUGCCUAGUAGGCGCAAGUCAUCAGCUUGCGUCGAUUACGUCCCUGCCCUUUGUACACACCGCCCGUCGCUCCUACCGAUUGGGUGUGCUGUUGAAAUGUUCGGAUCGGCCGUUUGUCGCGGUUUCCGCGUCAUGUGGCUGAGAAGUUCAUUAAACCCUCCCACCUAGAGGAAGGAGAAGUCGUAACA
rnacentral:rRNA from 1 species